rnacentral:rRNA from 1 species
CAAUAGCGUAUAUUUAAGUUGCUGCAGUUAAAAAGCUCGUAGUUGGAUUUCGGGUGGGAAUGGCCGGUCCGCCGUUUCGGUGUGCACUUGCUACGCCCACCUUGCUGCCGGGGACGUGCUCUUGAGUUCACGCUCGGGACACGGAGUCGGCGAGGUUACUUUGAGUAACUUAGAGUGUUCAAAGCAGGCCUACGCUCUGAAUACAUUAGCAUGGAAUAACACGAUAGGACUCUGGCCUAUCUUGUUGGUCUGUAGGACCGGAGUAAUGAUUAAGAGGGACAGUCGGGGGCACUCGUAUUUCAUUGUCAGAGGUGAAAUUCUUGGAUUUAUGAAAGACGAACUACUGCGAAAGCAUUUGCCAAGGAUGUUUUCAUUAA